GAUUACAGCUGCCAGCCUAGAUCCAGGUUCAGUGAGAGACCUGUCUGAAGGGAACAAGGCAGAGAGUGAUAGUGUGGGACCCUGGCACUCUCCUCAGGCCAUACACACAAUAUAUAUACCAUACACAUACAAUAAAGUACUUAUUAAAAUGAAACUGCUAUGGUGGUGCCUGCUUUAGAUCCCAGGAGUUCAAGACCAGCCUACAUCAGUAAGUCUAAGGCUAUCCUGGGUUACUUGAGACCCUAUAUAAACAAAGAAAGAAAGAAAAAUUUUUAGAACUGAGCAUGGUGGCACACACGCCUUUAAUCUUAGCACUUGGGAGGCAGAAGUAGACACUUCUCUUGAGUUUGAGGCCAGCCUGGUCCACAGAACAAGUUCUAGGAAAGCUGGGAUUACACAGAGAAACCCUAUCUCAAAAAACCAACAAGAAGAAGUAAUUUCAGGGUCUUUUAGUAAUCAUAACCUCAAACUAACAGUGGCAGAAUCUUUUUGAAGUGGAAUAGCCUAAACUAUAUAGACUUUGUUUCUUGUUUUUGCUGUUGUUUGUUUAUUUACUUUUAAGAAAUGUCACAUUUAGAAAGAAAGACACGGUACAGCAAUUUAAAUAAUUGGGUUUUUAAAAUAAUUGCAAGUUAUGAUCUUGAAUGGAGUCUUUAACUGAACAAAUACUCUUCUACCUUCAGGUUGUAUCAUAAUAAUGACUACUAAUUAAGAAUAUUGAAAUAGCACUGGCUAGAUGGCUCUGUGGGGGAAGACAUCUGCCAGCAGCCUGAUCAUCAGAGUUCCUACGUGAUGGGGAGACAUGGGCUCCUACAAGUUGCUCUGUGACUUCCACAUGUACAUUGUAGCAUUCAUGCACCCACAAACAUACAGAUGCAUAAGACAAAUACUACGUGGUAAAGGUACAUUUUAAAAAUAAAAUAAAAAUUUUCAAAUUGAAAUGCAAUUAAUAUAAGUUGGCUGUGAAAUGUAAAUGUUUCCAUGCCGACUACAAAAGCAGAACUAUGUUGAUAAUGUCAAAUUUUAAAGAGAACAAAAUGAAUCCUCAGAGUUCUACUUUUUCAAGUCAAUACUUGAAAUUAGUGGAAACAGCUUAAAAGCAAGCGCCAGAGCAUUAAGAAUUACCCCCUGGAGCUGGAGAGGUGGCUCAGUGGUCAGAGCACUGCUGCUCUUCCAGAGGACCCACAUGGCAGCUCACAACCACUCCAGUCCCAGGGAACCUAGCAUCCUCUUCAGGCUUCCUUGAGCACCAGGCACACACAUGCAUGGUUCAGAGAUUUAUACAUAAAAAUAAUUAAAAGAAGACUUACAGCCCUUCCUCAAAGGAAUGCAAAAGAAAAUGACCUUGGAUAUUUUGUAAGAUUCAUAAUGGAAAUCAGAAUGUUUGUGUAGUAUUAUGCCCUAACACUUAGCCUACGCAUUGUGCCCUGGCUUAAGUAAUACCAGUAUGUUUUUGCCUUGUUUCUAUCAGUUUCUCACUUGUCCACACUCACAAACAUAAGCCUCAGAUCAGAGACACAUUUCUGUAUUAGUAACACACAGUUUAGAAAGGCUGAGUGUCACAUUUAACCUUUUAAUGGGGUCUUGGAGCUGUUUUCUCUCAAAAACAAAACUCUUCUCUUCAUGAAUCAUCUAUUUUUGUCUUGUUAAAUGAGAUCCACUGUAAGAAGUUUAUUUGAACAUUUAUAUACUAAAUACAGUAUAUAAACAUCAGAUGAAAAGUUACACUAUAAAAAUAAGUUCUUAGGGCUGGAGAGGUGAGGCUUUCCCAUUAAAAGUCCUUGCUGCUCUAGUAGAGGAUCAAAUUUGAUUCCUAGCAAGCACAUCAGGCAGCUCACCACCCUCUAACUCCAGCAUGCCCAGCAUACAAAGUAAAAGCUAAAGUACAUUCAGAACUAAUGAUAGCGAAAUCUAGUGCUCUUCUUCGCUCAUGAUCGUCAGAAAUGAAUCCAAAGACCUGUAAUCCUUUCCCUUGACCAAAUAGCACCUUCCAGAAGCAUAAGAUUUGCAUUCAGAACAUGAUAAAUAUUUUAAAUGCAUAGCUUUAUGCCAGAGAGAUGGCUUAGCAGGUGUAGGCAGUUGUCACCAAGCCUGGUGACCUAAAUUUGAUCCUUCAAACCCUCACUCCCAAAAGACAUCUACAGACACACACACACACACACACACACACACACAUACACACACACAGAAUGUUCUGUUCUUUUCUUUUUUCUUUCUUUCUCUUUUUUUGUUUUGUUUGUUUGUUUGUUUUUGAGACAGGGUUUUUCUGAAUAGCCCUGGCUGUCCUGGAACUCACUCUGUAGACCAGGCUGGACUCGAACUCAGAACUCUACCUGCCUCUGCUUCCCAAGUCCUGGGAUUAAAGACAUGUGCCACCACUAUACAGCUAUAGUGUUCUUUUCAAAGGCUAGAACUGUUUUUUCUGUUUUUAAUGUGAAUUUAAGGAAGGUAGAGUUUAGAUUCUUCUUUUUUCUUUUUUUUUUUUAAGAUUUAUUUAUUUAUUAUAUGUAAGUACACUGUGGCUGUCUUCAGACACACCAGAAGAGGGCGUCAGAUCUUUUUACGAGUGGUUGUGAGCCACCAUAUGGUUGCUGGGAUUUGAACUCAUGACCUUCGGAAGAGCAGUCAGUGCUUUUUACCCGUUGAGCCAUCUCACCAGCCCUAGGUUCUUAUUUCUAU
rnacentral:lncRNA from 1 species